GGUGGUUAAAAUUUUCAUUUACACUGAAGAAUACCUUUUAAGGCACUUUCAUUAGUUAGGGUGAUUUGU
rnacentral:tRNA from 3 species